AGUUAGGAAAGACAGAACACACAUAUACGCAACAAGUUAUAGAAAGCAGGUUUAUUACUCACAGACAGGCAAUGAGGGACAACAGAAGCCUAGGAUUUAUCACCAGCCAGUCCUCCUCAAGGUUCAGGAAAGCUGCCUGGAGGAGAAGGAGUCUCAAAUGCACGGGCACCGCUUGCACUGCAGCCUGAGGAUCCCCAGAAAGCAGCAUCCCCACCCUCAGGUGGUAUGCUCUGGGACAAUAGGAAUGGCUGGGUUACAGCAUUAAAGUACAUUCUGUUUCUAGGGCAGCAUGACAACAGAGCCCCAACUGUCAGGCCAUUCUCCCUAUCUCAGCAUGUUACGUACCCAGCCGUUCUAGUGAUUAUUGAAAACUACAAGCAAGAAGGGUGCUGGGAGAAGGUCAGUUGGAUGCCUUCUGGAGAACUGUCCUUCCAAGGUGGAGGCUGCCAUCCUUUCCCUUCAACACUGCAUCAUGCCUUCCUACCAGCCUCUGCUGCCUGCCCUUGUAGAAUCCCUGCAGGACCCAGGAUUCAAGAUUGAGCCUGACUCUGCUUGAAAGGCAUGAACCCAGAGCUCAGGAAGUCCUGUCUUCCCCAGAGCACCAGGAAGAAGGAAGUAGACAGAAGCCACAGCUGCAUGGUGGAAGAGGAUCUGGAUGCAGACUCCUGGGCCCCCUGCUCCUGCAGGCACUGAAACCCGUGGCUGCAGUGUCUGGGUCCACACUGAGCCUGGGCAUCGCCUGCUCCCUGUUGUAUCUUUCCCUCAUCCUCAACCUUCUGUCACACUUUUCAAGCUCUGUUUUCCUUUUUCUCUACUUCUCUUUUAAUUUACUUUUCAACUUCGCCUACUCUUUCCUCUCCAUUGUCCAGUUGUGGCAGAUUGUUAAAGCUGUCAUUUUGCCCAUGGAUUUGCUCACUGAUUCUGUUUUUUUUUUUUUUUUUCCAAGUUAUUUUUAAAAUUUCAAUAAUUUGGGGGGUACACAUUGUCUUUACAUGGUUGUUGG
rnacentral:lncRNA from 1 species